rnacentral:rRNA from 1 species
GAUGAACGCUGGCGGCGUGCCUAAUACAUGCAAGUCGAGCGAACAGACGAGGAGCCUGCUCCUCUGACGUUAGCGGCGGACGGGUGAGUAACACGUGGAUAACCUACCUAUAAGACUGGGAUAACUUCGGGAAACCGGAGCUAAUACCGGAUAAUAUAUUGAACCGCAUGGUUCAAUAGUGAAAGACGGUUUUGCUGUCACUUAUAGAUGGAUCCGCGCCGCAUUAGCUAGUUGGUAAGGUAACGGCUUACCAAGGCGACGAUGCGUAGCCGACCUGAGAGGGUGAUCGGCCACACUGGAACUGAGACACGGUCCAGACUCCUACGGGAGGCAGCAGUAGGGAAUCUUCCGCCAUGGGCGAAAGCCUGACGGAGCAACGCCGCGUGAGUGAUGAAGGUCUUCGGAUCGUAAAGCUCUGUUAUUAGGGAAGAACAAAUGUGUAAGUAACUAUGCACGUCUUGACGGUACCUAAUCAGAAAGCCACGGCUAACUACGUG